AUGGAGCUAAGGUCGUGAGGCCUGGUGGGAGGCAUCUUUAUUCACUGAGUCAUCUCUCCAGCCCUGAGUUCUUGCCUUGAUAUAUCAAGGAAUUACUUAAAGGCUGCAAAACAAAGCUGGCGGGAACUCAGCAUCACUGCAGCCAAGGAAAUUGAAGCUGGUGGUGGUCUGAAAGCUAUCACAAUUUUUGUACCAACUGGAAUCUUUCCAGAAAAAUCUAUGUCCAGUUAGUGUGGGAACUGGAGAAAAAGUUCACUGGGAAGCAUGGACUCUUGACUGUUCUGAGGAGAUUUCUACCGAAGCCAGACUGAAAAGGCCAUAUGAAAGAUAGGCAAACAUGCCCCCAGAGUGUGCCAUCCUUCAGAAUGUGGUCUUCCCAAGUGAAAUUGUGGGUAAGAGGAUGUCAGCAGCCCAUAAAGGUUGGUUUAGACAGAGUACCGUGGAACAGCAUUGCACAGAAGGUUGAGACUAUUCCUGGUGUGUCCAAGAAUUCCGUAGGCAAGGACAUUAAUUUUGAAUUCCCAGGGUUU
rnacentral:lncRNA from 1 species